AACGAACGCUGGCGGCGUGCUUAACACAUGCAAGUCGAGCGGAAAGGCCCCUUUGGGGGUACUCGAGCGGCGAACGGGUGAGUAACACGUGAGUAAUCUGCCCUUCACUUUGGGAUAACCCCCGGAAACGGGAGCUAAUACCGGAUACGACCACUCCAAGCAUGUGGUGGGGGUGGAAAAUUUUUUGGGUGGGGGUUGUGCCCGCGGCCUAUCAGCUUGUUGGUGGGGUAAUGGCCGCCCAAGGCUUUGACGGGUAGCCGGCCUGAGAGGGUGACCGGCCACACUGGGACUGAGACACGGCCCAGACUCCUACGGGAGGCAGCAGUGGGGAAUAUUGCACAAUGGGCGCAAGCCUGAUGCAGCAACGCCGCGUGAGGGACGACGGCCUUCGGGUUGUAAACCUCUUUUAGUAGGGAAGAAGCGGAAGUGACAGUACCUGCAGAAAAAGCACCGGCUAACUACGUGCCAGCCGCCGCCGUAA
rnacentral:rRNA from 1 species